rnacentral:rRNA from 1 species
UACGUAGGGUGCGAGCGUUAAUCGGAAUUACUGGGCGUAAAGCGUGCGCAGGCGGUUCUGUAAGUCAGAUGUGAAAUCCCCCGGGCUCAACCUGGGGAACUGCGUUUGAAACUACAGGGCUAGAGUAUGGGAGAGGGAGGUAGAAUUCCACGUGUAGCAGUGAAAUGCGUAGAGAUGUGGAGGAAUACCAAUGGCGAAGGCAGCCUCCCUGGCCUAAUACUGACGCUCAUGCACGAAAGCGUGGGGAGCAAACAGG